GUGUCUAAACUUUGAGCUCCUUGAGGACAAAAACUAGGUUUUUUUCAUCCUAUAUGCCUAGUAUCUUAGUUGAUGUUUAUCGAGUGUAUGUAAGUGUGCACUUGCUCACAAACACGUAAAUAUUAGUAUAUGUUGUAGAAAAGCUGUUGUCAGAAGAUAUUUGUACACUCAGGCUUUCCACUAUUAUAGUCACCAGGCACAUGUGGGUACUGAGCAUUGGAAAUGUGGAUUGUCCAGAUUGGAAUGUACUAAUUGUAAAAUAUGCACUGGAUUGCACAGGCUUGGGGCAGUACAAACAAAAGAAUGAAGGUAUCUCAUUAAUAGUUUUUAUGUUAUUACACAUUGAAAUAAUCAUAUCUUGGAUAUAUUGAGUUAAAUAAAAUAUAUUAUUAAAUUUUACCUCUUUAUUGUUACUUUUCUAAAAGCAGCUACUAGAAAAUUUUAAAUUAUACAUGUAGUUGCUCAUAGAAGGUUGGUAUCCGGGUUAAUUCAUUAGUGUAGAUUCAUAAACACAGUAAUUUUCUUUAAUUUCAUGGAUUCGUUGAACUAAAGAUCCCAUAGGUCACCGCCUUCCCUGUCCCUCCUCUACCACCAAAAAUUAAUGAGAACAAACGGGAAGAAUUUACUGUGCUUUUAAAGGUACUCUGAUACAGAUUUUUCUCUACUGUCAUAAGUAUACCUAGAACAAAAGCACUGUUGACUCAAGUAGUUUCACUAAUGAAAAGGAAGCAGCAGAAUGACUAAUGUAAAUUGGAGGAGGCACUGUUUUAUUUGGAAUGCUUUGGUUCUUCCACUGUGGAACAAGUGUGGCUGCAGUUGAAACAGCAGAGUCAUACUAGGCAUAUCUGAUGUGUGAGGAACCGGAGCAUUGCUCAGGGUCCCCUGCCUUCCGAUGAAUGGAUGUAGGAUCCAUCAUACAUCAGAUUGCUCCUCUCCAAUACAAACUCUGAUGCAGAAAUGCACUUGGUGUAGUUGCUUUUUCUUACUUCGUGGUUUAGGGCAGAAAUAAUAUUUUGGCUUAGAGACUUUUCUCCUGAACUAUGACAUAAUAGGAUAAGAAUAUUGUGUCAAAAAUAGCCUUACAAGGUCCUUUUUGGCAUUAAGACUUCUAGAGUGAGUUUGAGGUAGAUUAUUGAGAACAAUUCUGUUCAUUAGCAGCUAGCCAUCUUUGAUGAGUGCUGACUUCUCUCCUUUCAGCACAGAGUGGGAAAUGGCUGCCUCCCAUGACUCUGGGUUGGAGUGAAGGGGAAUGCAUACCAGCCACCCUCUUGCAGAGGUGGGGCAGGUGCUGGCAUAGAGCCUCAGGUUAGGCCGAGGGGAUGCAGUCUCAGGCCAGCAGCCGACAGUGUUUGUAAACAACAGGAGGGAGAUUGUGCUGGUGAUGUCCAACUCACACCAAUGAAGAUCAACCGUUUGCACUUUGGGCAGCAGGCUGCAGAUAGACAGUGCCUCCUGAGGGCAUCGCCAUGUUUUAGGGAUCCAUGUUGUAGGAUGCCUGCCUGCAAGAGAGAGUCUAGGAAUGCUUUUUAAGCCCCUGGAGUUCAGGCCUGGCAUCUGGGUGUCAAGUAGAGUGAACCUCCUGAAGUCCAAACUAACAUGACAUUUUAAAAUGAGGAAAACAAACAGCUCUGAAAAGGUCUAUAGGAUUAUAGAUAAGUGGUUAAUAUGGAAGAUGUUAUAAAGGGCUCAGGAGGUGAUGGGGUGAUCCAGGGUUGGUUGAAGUCAUUGACAUUGAAUUACCCUGUCUUUUACCCAUCUGUGGAAAAAAAGAGGAAAACGACAUCUCCCAAAGAUGCUUGGAGAUUUGAUUGACGUUUGUAAAGUGCUUUGAUAUCUUUCAUAGAGUGUCCAAUAAGAGCAAAAUGUGUCAUCAGAACUUAGUCUAAAGCAAACUAUUCUAAACCAUCUUGAGUAGAUACUAAGCAGUUAAUGUCUUCGUUAUAAGUUGUACUUAUAUUUUUGAGAGAAAGUUUUUCAUGUUCUGAUUUUCUUUUAAGUAUCAGCUGCAUGCUUGGUGUCUUUACCUGUUAGCUUGAGUUCCAACAUGCUCUGUAGAUGGUCAGUCACCUACAGAGUACAAUUUUUCUAGCCAAGCAGUAAAUCCACCUUAAAAUGCAUCUUGCCAAGGACAAUGCCUUUGCAAAUAUUUGAGAUGUUUAUUCUCAGUUGUGAUUUAUUACUGAAUCUGUGUCUUCAUAGCUACUCCUUGGGAGGUGCAGAAGGAGGCAGAGCCAGAAAGCAAGUCCCUGCAAUCAGUUCAUUAUAGAGAAAGAAAAAGCUGUUAUUUCAGGGUUCUGGUGGAUAGACUUUCCGAUAUGUAUGUUCUGUGUCUAUUUAAUUUCAUGUAGUGCUGCAUCUAAUCACGCUGUUUAAUCGAAUAGAAUGUCCUUUUGCUUUGCUUUUGCUUGUAAAGAGCACACAGCACUGCCACCUUGUUGCCAAAGUUUGGUCUGAUUUGAAUGUGCUUAAAAAUCAAGUGAAUGCCUGUUAGGAAAAAGCUUACUCCUUCUCUUUGUCAGUACUUGCAAAAACAACUUAAAAGAAGUUAGCAUUAUUGGACUGAAUUCAGUAAUUAGCAUAAUCAUGAUGCUAUGUAUUGUUCACCAGGGCACGCCCCUUGGCCGCAUUUCCCAUUAAGAGGACACCGAUGUUGUCCUAGUGAAUAAAUCCCGGCACACAUGAUGCAAAUCAGCGUGUUCCUGCCUGCCGCUUGGCUGCGGUUAAUUUUAGCCGGGGUUAGUUCUAUGAGUUGUAAAAGUAGAAGUUAGCAAGCUGAAAUGUGACUUCUCGGCCUAAGGUGAUAGGAUAUCUAUUUUAGACUUCAGAUUGUGUUUAUGAUCAGGAGAGCAGUCUUCUGAAGAAUUGUGGCUCAGUUUUCUUGGAAACUACUUGAGGAGACAUCACAGCUUUCCCAGAUCGGGAGGAAAAAUAUGGAAUGUGUUUUACCGCUGACUGAACACAACCAAAUGAACUGUCCUGACAGUAGUUUGCAAACCAGCAGCUAGCAGUUUGUCCAGCCUCUAACAUUGUCCAGCACUUUCCAGAGCAAACUCACUGUUUACAAGAACUCUUGGCCUUACGAAGUUUAUAACCUCAAGCUUUGUUUAUUUAAAAUAUUCCUGCAAAAGAAAAGUACCUGGCACCCACUUUCCAAAAUGGCCAUGGAUGAGUAUUUGUGGAUGGUCAUUUUGGGUUUCAUCAUAGCUUUCAUCUUGGCCUUUUCUGUUGGUGCAAACGAUGUUGCCAACUCCUUUGGUACGGCCGUGGGCUCUGGUGUGGUGACCUUGAGGCAGGCGUGCAUUUUAGCUUCAAUAUUUGAAACCACCGGCUCCGUAUUACUAGGAGCCAAAGUAGGAGAAACCAUUCGCAAAGGUAUCAUUGACGUGAACCUGUACAACGAGACGGUGGAGACGCUCAUGGCUGGGGAAGUUAGUGCCAUGGUUGGUAGAGAUGACGGCCCAACAGACAGCUGAUGUAUACGGGUAAUUUGGUUAGGGAGAAGAGGGUUAGAGAGGAAUUCUACCACCUUCUGCUUUCAACAGGACAUAUCCUCUUGUAGGAAGAGUCCUGCAGCAGGAGGUAAGAUGCUGGUAUACUGAGAAUACAG